UGGUGGGUAGUUUGACUGGGGCGGUCUCCUCCUAAAGAGUAACGGAGGAGCACGAAGGUUGGCUAAUCCUGGUCGGACAUCAGGAGGUUAGUGCAAUGGCAUAAGCCAGCUUGACUGCGAGCGUGACGGCGCGAGCAGGUGCGAAAGCAGGUCAUAGUGAUCCGGUGGUUCUGAAUGGAAGGGCCAUCGCUCAACGGAUAAAAGGUACUCCGGGGAUAACAGGCUGAUACCGCCCAAGAGUUCAUAUCGACGGCGGUGUUUGGCACCUCGAUGUCGGCUCAUCACAUCCUGGGGCUGAAGUAGGUCCCAAGGGUAUGGCUGUUCGCCAUUUAAAGUGGUACGCGAGCUGGGUUUAGAACGUCGUGAGACAGUUC
rnacentral:rRNA from 6 species